CUUUGGGUGUGACUGCGUACCUUUUGUAUAAUGGGUCAGCGACUUAUAUUCUGUAGCAAGGUUAACCGAAUAGGGGAGCCGGAGGGAAACCGAGUCUUAACCGGGCGUUAAGUUGCAGGGUAUAGACCCGAAACCCGGUGAUCUAGCCAUGGGCAGGUUGAAGGUUGGGUAACACUAACUGGAGGACCGAACCGACUAAUGUUGAAAAAUUAGCGGAUGACCUGUGGCUGGGGGUGAAAGGCCAAUCAAACCGGGAGAUAGCUGGUUCUCCCCGAAAGCUAUUUAGGUAGCGCCUCGUGAAUUCAUCUCCGGGGGUAGAGCACUGUUUCGGCUAGGGGGCCAUCCCGGCUUACCAACCCGAUGCAAACUGCGAAUACCGGAGAAUGUUAUCACGGGAGACACACGGCGGGUGCUAACGUCCGUCGUGAAGAGGGAAACAACCCAGACCGCCAGCUAAGGUCCCAAAGUCAUGGUUAAGUGGGAAACGAUGUGGGAAGGCCCAGACAGCCAGGAUGUUGGCUUAGAAGCAGCCAUCAUUUAAAGAAAGCGUAAUAGCUCACUGGUCGAGUCGGCCUGCGCGGAAGAUGUAACGGGGCUAAACCAUGCACCGAAGCUGCGGCAGCGACACUGUGUGUUGUUGGGUAGGGGAGCGUUCUGUAAGCCUGUGAAGGUGUGUCGUGAGGCAUGCUGGAGGUAUCAGAAGUGCGAAUGCUGACAUAAGUAACGAUAAAGCGGGUGAAAAGCCCGCUCGCCGGAAGACCAAGGGUUCCUGUCCAACGUUAAUCGGGGCAGGGUGAGUCGACCCCUAAGGCGAGGCCGAAAGGCGUAGUCGAUGGGAAACGGGUUAAUAUUCCCGUACUUGGUGUUACUGCGAAGGGGGGACGGAGAAGGCUAUGUUGGCCGGGCGACGGUUGUCCCGGUUUAAGCGUGUAGGUGUGUGUUCCAGGUAAAUCCGGUUCACUUUAACACUGAGGCGUGACGACGAGGCACUACGGUGCUGAAGCAACAAAUGCCCUGCUUCCAGGAAAAGCCUCUAAGCAUCAGGUAACAUCAAAUCGUACCCCAAACCGACACAGGUGGUCAGGUAGAGAAUACCAAGGCGCUUGAGAGAACUCGGGUGAAGGAACUAGGCAAAAUGGUGCCGUAACUUCGGGAGAAGGCACGCUGACACGUAGGUGAAGUGAUUUACUCAUGGAGCUGAAGUCAGUCGAAGAUACCAGCUGGCUGCAACUGUUUAUUAAAAACACAGCACUGUGCAAACACGAAAGUGGACGUAUACGGUGUGACGCCUGCCCGGUGCCGGAAGGUUAAUUGAUGGGGUCAGCGCAAGCGAAGCUCCUGAUCGAAGCCCCGGUAAACGGCGGCCGUAACUAUAACGGUCCUAAGGUAGCGAAAUUCCUUGUCGGGUAAGUUCCGACCUGCACGAAUGGCGUAAUGAUGGCCAGGCUGUCUCCACCCGAGACUCAGUGAAAUUGAACUCGCUGUGAAGAUGCAGUGUACCCGCGGCAAGACGGAAAGACCCCGUGAACCUUUACUAUAGCUUGACACUGAACAUUGAGCCUUGAUGUGUAGGAUAGGUGGGAGGCUUUGAAGUGUGGACGCCAGUCUGCAUGGAGCCGACCUUGAAAUACCACCCUUUAAUGUUUGAUGUUCUAACGUGGACCCGUUACCCGGGUUGCGGACAGUGUCUGGUGGGUAGUUUGACUGGGGCGGUCUCCUCCUAAAGAGUAACGGAGGAGCACGAAGGUUGGCUAAUCCUGGUCGGACAUCAGGAGGUUAGUGCAAUGGCAUAAGCCAGCUUGACUGCGAGCGUGACGGCGCGAGCAGGUGCGAAAGCAGGUCAUAGUGAUCCGGUGGUUCUGAAUGGAAGGGCCAUCGCUCAACGGAUAAAAGGUACUCCGGGGAUAACAGGCUGAUACCGCCCAAGAGUUCAUAUCGACGGCGGUGUUUGGCACCUCGAUGUCGGCUCAUCACAUCCUGGGGCUGAAGUAGGUCCCAAGGGUAUGGCUGUUCGCCAUUUAAAGUGGUACGCGAGCUGGGUUUAGAACGUCGUGAGACAGUUCGGUCCCUAUCUGCCGUGGGCGCUGGAGAACUGAGGGGGGCUGCUCCUAGUACGAGAGGACCGGAGUGGACGCAUCACUGGUGUUCGGGUUGUCAUGCCAAUGGCACUGCCCGGUAGCUAAAUGCGGAAGAGAUAAGUGCUGAAAGCAUCUAAGCACGAAACUUGCCCCGAGAUGAGUUCUCCCUGAGACUUAAAGUCUCCUGAAGGAACGUUGAAGACGACGACGUUGAUAGGCCGGGUGUGUAAGCGCAGCGAUGCGUUGAGCUAACC
rnacentral:rRNA from 1 species